AACGAACGCUGGCGGCAGGCCUAACACAUGCAAGUCGAGCGAGGACUUCGGUUCUAGCGGCGGACGGGUGAGUAACGCGUGGGAAUGUGCCCUUCUCUACGGAAUAGCCCUGGGAAACUGGGAGUAAUACCGUAUACGCCCUAUUGGGGAAAGAUUUAUCGGAGAAGGAUCAGCCCGCGUUGGAUUAGGUAGUUGGUGGGGUAAUGGCCUACCAAGCCGACGAUCCAUAGCUGGUUUGAGAGGAUGAUCAGCCACACUGGGACUGAGACACGGCCCAGACUCCUACGGGAGGCAGCAGUGGGGAAUCUUAGACAAUGGGGGCAACCCUGAUCUAGCCAUGACGCGUGAGUGAUGAAGGCCUUAAGGUUGUAAAGCUCUUUCAGCUGGGAAGAUAAUGACGGUACCAGCAGAAGAAGCCCCGGCUAACUCCGUG
rnacentral:rRNA from 1 species